GACGAACGCUGGCGGCGUGCCUAAUACAUGCAAGUCGAGCGCAGGAAGCUGACGGAACUCUUCGGAGGGAAGGCAGUGGAAUGAGCGGCGGACGGGUGAGUAACACGUAAGGAACCUGCCUCAAGGAUUGGGAUAACUCCGAGAAAUCGGAGCUAAUACCGGAUAGUUCAACGGACCGCAUGGUCCGCUGAUGGAAGGCGCUUCGGCGUCACCUUGAGAUGGCCUUGCGGUGCAUUAGCUAGUUGGUGAGGUAACGGCCCACCAAGGCGACGAUGCAUAGCCGACCUGAGAGGGUGAUCGGCCACACGGGGACUGAGACACGGCCCAGACUCCUACGGGAGGCAGCAGUAGGGAAUCUUCCACAAUGGACGAAAGUCUGAUGGAGCAACGCCGCGUGAGUGAUGAAGGUUUUCGGAUCGUAAAACUCUGUUGUAAGGGAAGAACACGUACGAGAGGAAAUGCUCGUACCUUGACGGUACCUUACGAGAAAGCCACGGCUAACUACGUGCCAGCCGCCGCGGUAAAAC
rnacentral:rRNA from 1 species